UUUGGAAACAUGACUGGCAUAAGAGGAAAUAGGUGUUCAGCUUAAGAGGAAUGGUACUCAAGGUGCUACAUUUAAAGAACUACACCUGAGGAACUUCAUCCAGAUCUCAACAUGAUUUAAAUGAUGACACUCAGGAUUUCAACUAAAUAUUGUGAUUGAUGGGGCUUUUGUGACCUUUUCUAGGGAUGAAAGUAUUUUAAUUGUGGGAAAAAUGUAUAUGCUAUAUGUUCAGAGUGUAGAGUGUGUUUGUUUAAAAAAAUUUCUACGAAGUUUUUGAUAUUCUUCCCCUCAAAAGGUGGAAGAAUUAUUAAUUCUUAAUUUCUGUUAUCUGGCUUCUUAAUUAUGAAGCAUUUAAAGAAUUGCUUCAUAAUACAGUAUAGAUGACACAAUAUUACAAACUUAAACAUCAUAUUAAUAACAACAUUAAACUAUAUCAAUAAUUAUAUGUAAAGUAACUAAUAACUCCAAUUAGUCAUCAGUAAAAUGAAAGCUGAAAUCACUUCAUCCCAAUAAAAUGGUUAAAAUUCAAAAGACUGGAAAUACUAAAAUUCAAAGACUAAUUACAUGUCACAUUUGAGACUAGAUUACAAAAUGACUACUAUUUUUAUCAUUCUGUGUGUGUGUGUGUGUGUGUGUGUGUGUGUGUGUGUUUAUGUGUCUAUCUCCUUCUUUCCUGUAUUACUCAUUGUAGGGGAAGCUGUUUUGAAGAGCCUAUAGAACUGAAUCCUUAGGCUGAGAGAAAAGUGAAUGUGUUUGAAAGUAUAUUCCAGUUUUGUUUUUAAUUUCUCUUGGGUAAACACCUUGGAUAAGAAUUAUUGGAUUGUAUGGUAAAUGCAUGUUUAACAUUACGAGAAACUGUCAAAUUGUUUUCCAAAAGAGUUAGAUCAUUGUAUGCUCCCAGUGACAAUGAAUGGGAGUUGCAUUUGCUCCCCAUCCUCACGAUCACUUUGUAUUUCUGGUCUUUUGUUUCUUUUGUUUCUUAACCCAUUCAACUGGGGAUGAGGUAGUUUCAACUUGCACAUCUCUGAUGACUCAUUGGAGCAACUACCCAAUAGUAAUCAUUACUUAUUUAUAUGAUUUAAUGUAAUUAUUGAUGUUGUGUUUAGACAUGUCAUCUUCCUAUUUGUACCUUUUGCUUAUUUGCUGCUCUGUUGCUCUUUUCCUGUCUGCAUUUGGGGAAAUCAAAUAUACACCAGUGCCCCACUCUAUUUGUAACAUUGACGAUUACAGACCCACAUGCACACAAAUCUCCACAUGCAUGAUAUUCUCAGAUCUUUAAGUUAGUAUUUUUCAUCAAAAUUAGAAAUUUUUGACCAUAAUUUCUUUAAAUAUUUUUUCUGCUAACAUUGUACUUUCUUCUCUUACUGAUACUUCAGUUACAUAUAUGUUGGAUUGUAUGAUGUUGUGAUACUGGCCUCUGAGACUCUGUUUAUUUUUAAUUAAUAUUUCCCCUUCUAUCUUUUUCAGACUGGAAUAUUAUUUUCUAAGUUAUUUGGUAAAUACCUUUUUUUACUAUCUCCUUUUUGCUGCUAAAUCCAUUCAGUGCCUAUUUUCAUUUUCAUUAAUCUACCUUUCAGUUUUAGAGUUCUCAUUUAUUCUUUUAUCUCUGUUGUUAUUUCAUUCCUGCCUUCAUAUUACCAUCAUAUUUAACUUAUUUAAAAGUAAUUAUUAUAACUACCUUAAAGUCUUCAUAUUUUAGGUUCAGCAUCUCUUUCAUCUGUAGUUUGCUUUUUCUGUUUUCCCAUUCUUUGUUAUGGAUUUUUUAAAACAAAAAUCAUUAAUAUGGUGAUUUUGUAUUAAAUACCAGACACAUGAACAAUGCCUUGUGCAGGCUAGGGGUUUUUCUUCCUUCAAAGAGUUUUCAAUUUUAACACUGGUUGACCACCUUGAACUUUUCAAAUUACUGGUCAAACUUGUCUUGGCUCAGGCAAUGCUGUAUUAAGUGUAAAUCUAGGAAAGCUCAAAGCAUUUCCUAGGCCCCUAACUCAGUAUCCAAAUCCUGUGUCCUCUAACAAUCUUGUUAGGCUUGCUUUUGGACUUUGUUAAUGAGACUUGAGGAAGUCUCAUAGAAUAUGAAUAGACAGAGGCUCUCUGUCUAGAUUCAUUAGCAGUUUCACAGUGAUGUUAUUCUAAUUUUGUCAUUCUUUUCUGGUUCUACAAAAGAAACUUUCCCGAUCUACUAUUUUAAUACUCAUUAGUAUUGCUUGUAUAGAAAACACAUGAUAAAUGCUUCAAUCUUCCCCUUUAUUUGCCCAUUUUUUUUUUUCCAAAUAAUGAGUUUGUUCACAAUCUCCAACCAUUCCUAAAUGUUCUUUCUGAGCAGCAUCAUACUCUUCUGAUACCAGUUAUUCCAGAGAACUCUCUUAGGAUCUCUCAAUUUUUUUUCAGGGAAGUCAUUAUAAUGGUGGGAAAUCUUUUCUGCUCUGGCUGUUUUCUGAACCUCAGUCUACCCUUUAAAUGUUUUGAUAUCAAGGGGAAACUGAGAAGACUCAAAUUUAUAUCUUGUCUCACUUUCGUACUCUAUUUCUGGCUUCCAUUCGAAUCUACAUCCUCAUCCCUAUCCUGGUCUUCAUCCACAUUAUUGCAAAGAGAAUAGUCCUUAUGCUGGCUGUCAGUUUCGCUAAAUCUAUAACCCUGCUGAUAUUUAUAAAAUGUAAGUUUAACAAUAUCAUAUCUUUCUUUAUAUUAAAAUGGGAAUUUGGGAAAUUUAGAAAACUCCUUUUUUAAAAAUAAAAAAAUAAAGCUUGGAUUUUGAGAUUAUGCCUUUGAAGACAAAUCGACUUUAAAUUACAAAGAAAAUAAUCCUCUUUAUCAACUCAGU
rnacentral:lncRNA from 1 species